AAUUCUCAAACUUUUUCCUUGUUAAUCUUGGAGACAGUUUGGAUAUGAGAGUUGCUGGUUUCUUGAAUCAGCUCUCUUUAAAUGCAUUAGUAGUUUUGGCUUUGCUCCACAUUCUCAAUUGAUGUGAUAGUUAUCUACAUCAUUAGAGAUUGAAUCUGCUUAUAACUGUCUUUUGACAAAACUUUGACA
rnacentral:misc_RNA from 1 species